rnacentral:lncRNA from 1 species
CUCAAUCUCUCUCGUCUCUCACCCUAGGAACCCUAGAGAUGCCGCCCUAAGACCCUCCAUCGUCGCCGCCUCCUUACACCGCUCUAAUCCACCCAAAAAUAACACCCUGGAACCCUCUUCGUUCCCUCAUCCCAAAUCUCCAGCCCGUUACCUUCGAAUUAUAGCCUAGCUUGUCGAAUCUAAGAUCAAAGACCAAAGUUCCAUGAACCUUAAUCUUGCUCCCCUUGUCAGAGUUCAAGCAUUUCUGGGCCGAUAAUGGUUCCAAGUUUAUGCCAGUCGACUUUUCUCCUUGAGAACGAGUGACUAGCAUGGAUUUUGAUUCGUUUUGGAUCCCAUUGGCCUCAUGCAAGACCAAAAACCAGCAAGUCUAUUAAACGAUGUCUGUCUCUGUUAGCUUCAGUAUGUGUUUCUCCUUCUUUAUAUCAUUUUUUUCCAAUCUCGAUUGAAUUCUAGUUAACGUAGUUCAUUGAGAAUAUAAUUGUGGUUAAAUACUCUUAAGUCUCAUGUUCGCUGUUUAUUUUGCUUGAUUCAUUUUUUUGGUUUUACCCGAUUUUGGUUUAUAAGGUUCGAAUUAUUGCUAAAUUGAUUAAAUGUUUUUUUUUCUUUUUGGUUUAAAUCAUUUGAGUUCUCUGAGACUCGUUUCUUUUCCCUCCCUGCAUUUUUCUUUCAUUUGAUCUGAACAGCCCGGGUCAUUUGAGCUUUAAUGCUCUUUGAUUAAUGGUCUGAAGUUGUAAGUUUGGGCUGUAGUAUACAGACCCAUAGGUUUGGGAUGGGUCUUGGGAUAACUUGACCCAAUUUUGGUUGCCUGGGGGUAAAUACAGGGGUGUCAAGGGUCAAUUUAGGAAUUUGAUGUUUGAGGGAAUCAUUUUCUGUUAGCAUAGAAGGUUCUAGAGGAUAAGAUGAGAGCUGAGGGUUUCAGAUAUUUUUUUAAAAGGUUAAAAAGGGUAAAAACAACUAAGAAAGAAGGGGUAGAGAGGGAAUUGGUUAGCUGUACUAGGGCUGCUUUAGGCAUGCCUAUAUAUGGUCUUUUUCCCUUCAUUUCGAGGCAGCUUUGAACACUCCAAAAAAUACUGAAAAGCAAAAACGGCUGAGAGAAGUUAUUCUGAAAAUACAUUGAAAUUUAUGCAUCUUUUGUGGUGGGAAUUGGAUCUGAAUCUGCUCCCUAACUGGAAUUUAAAAAGCUUCAAAGAACUCUUGUUUUAUCUGGGUAAAAAUGGUUUAAAGAGCUGAAAUUGCUGGAUUUUUGGAAGAUGUUUGAUUUGGUUUUACUGCUGAUCUCUGCGGCUAUACUUGUUAGCUUGGUGUUGCUUUAAGCUGAUUCUCAAAGCUCUUUGUUUAUCUUUGCUGUAACCAGGUACUUAUUCGAUCACAAAUGACAUGUUGAAAUAGGAAUGAGAAUGCUGAUGAUACCAUGUUUUAUGGCAAUCUAUUUUUGAUCAUUUGGUUUUAUAUUCAUGUAGUCUUGUUGAGUGGUUAUGUGUUCAUUAAGUUGUUAUUAUUAAAAUAUUUGUAAAGUGGAUGAGUAAUUUGGUCUAGUAUGGUUUGAGUUAUGGGCUAAUAAGAGUGUUGUUAGAUUAUGUUUAACCAUGCUUUUGCUACUAUUGGUUUUAAUGUGAGACUGUGUUUAGAAGUUAGACAUGUGAGCC